GACGCCAUCGUCUAGCCAGGUUCAGGACACGAGCCUUUCAAGCUCGAGAUCGUGGGUUCGAAUCCCACUGGCGUCA
rnacentral:tRNA from 1 species